ACUCCUACGGGAGGCAGCAGUGAGGAAUAUUGGACAAUGGGCGCAAGCCUGAUCCAGCCAUGCCGCGUGCAGGAUGACGGUCCUAUGGAUUGUAAACUGCUUUUAUACAGGAAGAAACCCUGGUUCGUGAACCAGCUUGACGGUACUGUAAGAAUAAGGAUCGGCUAACUCCGUGCCAGCAGCCGCGGUAAU
rnacentral:rRNA from 1 species